rnacentral:antisense_RNA from 1 species
ACCUUGAGAUCUGGCAGAGCCUGGAGCUCCGUACUCUGCUGAUGGUGUCUGCUUCCCUCAGACCAAGUUGUUAUUGGCAGAAUUCUGGAGCCAUGGUGUCUCAAUCAAUCCAAUUUUCCUGGUGUCCUGAUAUUACCCCUGGGCUACUGGCCUCGUGUUUUGAGUUCAUUUUGGGAGUAGAGCACAGCAGCCUGGGCUUGAUUGUCACUUUGGCAGCUACAGCAUUCACUGCAGCUGUGAACGGUAGCAGUGAAAGCAUACAUCAAUGACUUGCUCCUGACGAGAAUGGGAAUGCUUCUAACAUUUCACAUUCAAGAGAAGGAGCCUUGGAGAAUUCGUUGAAUAAUUGCCCGUAUUUUGGGAUUAUUUGGAAGAGUUAAUAUGGUGAUUCGUUUUCCCUGAACACUUGGGGGAACUGACCCACAAAACUGCCUGCCUUAGAACGGUAGAGGGUGGAUUGAGCUUUAAAUACAUUU